rnacentral:piRNA from 1 species
UCAGUAAACCUAUGCUAGCUUCUGCA